GCGCGUCCCCGAGUAUAUAGAUAUACUCGCCGGUUCCGAAAAAACAAAAGUUAAACCGAAAAAUAAUAUUUGCACAACAAACAGGCCUAAACGUCAACAACGUUCGAAAUUCGAACAUUAUUUAAACGCAACGCUAGUGAUGUGACGAUGUCAAUUGAUAUUAUCGAUGGAUUGGAAUAACGAUGAAAAUGAGCACGUUUUGGAGCGAGUUUCUGAAUGCGGCGGCGAAUCACCCGUUCCCGUUGCCCAUUGACUUGCUGUCGCCUUUCGAUCUGCAAACAAAUGAAGAGUUUUUCCCGAAUGUGCCGGCCGCGCCGGGCAUGCCCUGUGCUGGCGAAGACAGAAGCAUAUACAGGAGAGGCGCUCGAAGGUGGCGAAAGCUAUACCGCGUCAAUGGACACAUCUUCCAGGCUAAACGGUUUAAUAGACGCGCAUUCUGUGCCUUCUGCCAGGACCGCAUCUGGGGCCUCGGGCGGCAAGGCUUCAAGUGCAUCCAAUGCAAGCUGCUGGUGCAUAAGAAGUGCCACAAGCUCGUGCAGAAGCCAUGCUCCAAUGAACACGUGGAUCCUAUUGAAGUUAAGGAUGAUGCUAAUGGAGAAAGCACUUUGGGAAGAGCGUCGUCUGUUCGGUCUCGUGCGGAGGUCGAGCCCCCGUUGCCGGAGACGCCGCCUGCGCCCGCGCCGGCGCCGCCGCGGCCCGAUGAUCUUGAGCCGGGCUCCCAGAGACAGUACUCUCUUGAUGACUUCGAACUCAUCAGGGUGAUUGGACGAGGGUCUUAUGCUAAGGUGCUGAUGGUAGAACUGAAGCGCACAAAACGCGUGUACGCCAUGAAGGUGAUCAAGAAGGCUCUGGUAACGGACGACGAAGACAUAGACUGGGUGCAGACAGAGAAGCACGUAUUCGAGACGGCGUCCAACCAUCCCUUCCUCGUGGGGCUGCACUCUUGCUUCCAGACGCCCAGUCGCCUGUUCUUUGUCAUCGAGUUCGUUAGGGGAGGGGAUCUCAUGUUCCACAUGCAACGGCAGCGGCGUCUGCCGGAGGAGCACGCGCGGUUCUACGCGGCCGAGAUCUCGCUCGCGCUGCACUUCCUGCACGAGCGAGGCGUCAUCUACCGCGACCUCAAGCUCGACAACGUGCUGUUAGACCACGAGGGACAUAUUAAACUGACCGAUUAUGGCAUGUGCAAGGAGGGUGUCCGACCAGGCGACACCACCUCGACAUUCUGCGGCACCCCCAACUACAUAGCUCCUGAGAUCCUUCGCGGCGAGGAGUACGGCUUCUCCGUGGACUGGUGGGCGCUGGGGGUGCUGACAUACGAGAUGCUGGCAGGAAGAUCACCCUUCGAUAUUGCGCAGGCGGCUGAUAACCCUGAUCAGAACACUGAGGAUUAUCUCUUCCAGGUGAUCUUAGAGAAAACGAUCCGUAUCCCCCGGUCCCUGUCGGUGAAGGCGGCGUCGGUGCUGAAGGGCUUCCUCAACAAGAACCCGGCGGAGCGGCUCGGCUGCGGCGACAGCGGCUUCCUCGACAUCGUCAGCCAUCCCUUCUUCAAGAGCAUCGAGUGGGAGAUGCUGGAGCAGAAGCAGGUGGUGCCGCCGUUCAAGCCGCGGCUGGAGGGCGAGCGUGACCUGGCCAACUUCCCGCCCGAGUUCACCGACGAGCCCGUGCAUCUCACGCCCGACAACGACACGGUGAUCGCGGACAUCGACCAGUCGGAGUUCGAGGGCUUCGAGUACGUGAACCCGCUGCUGAUGUCGCUGGAGGACUGCGUGUGACGUCACGCCUGUCUGCUGCACCCCUACCAUGAGCCCGAUCAGGCAUACGGCUACGGUGCAGAGUCGUCGUCAUCGGACUACGACAGCGUUUGCUCGGAGCUGCCGCCGCGCAAGCCCACGCUGCUGCAGCACAUGUUCUGUCUGCCGCUCAACUGACGACGCGACAAGCACGACAAGCACGACAAGCACGACACACGCGACAAACACGACAGGUACACACAGCCGCAGUAAUGUACUUGUCGCAUGUAAAAAACUUUGAUAGGUGCAACCAGCAUCAAUAAUUUGACACAUUUUUAACUUAGAUAGUUGACUAUUCUCAACUACAGUAAUGUAUGUAUUUGUCGCAAUUUUUUACUUCAUCAUCAUUAUCUGCCCUAAUCCCCAUUAUAUUUCGGGCAGGUGCAGCUGUGUUUUUCAAAUAAUACUACAAUACAAUUUUUUGGAUAUUGAACACAGUUAAUUCUCAUCUUUGCAAUGUUGUGUUGUACAGUUUUUAACGAAAAGCAGGCCCAAGUUCACCAAUAACAAACGUCAGCUUUCUUUUGAACAACUGUUUACUUGUUGUAUCAAAAAACUGUGUUUAUAUUGUCGAUGUACCUGGGCCUAAAUGACGGAAAUUGGCAACAUGUGCAAACCGUCAAGAAGCUAAUUUCAGUAUAGCACAGUUAUUUGUAAAACAGACCUCAACAUAGUCGGAAAGAGGCUCUAAGGAUCAUGAUUUGUAAAAACUGUAACAUGAAUUUUAACUAAAGUGUGUCUAUAUUAUUGUGGUUGACUGUACCAGCUUAGCGAUAAGUGAAGCCAUUGGUGAUAGGAUCUUGUUUUACUAAUAAUUAACUACUUCUAUAGUGUCGGCCUUCUAAAUUAGGUGACGUUUGUAAAGAUAUGACGCCUCGAAUUUAAGGCUUAUUAAAGUACCGUCAGAAAUUAAGAACAAAAAUUAAAUUUAAAAAUGGCUGUCAUAAAUUUUUGAUAUGGCAACAAAAUAUUGUAAUGUUGCCAUAAUCAAAAAUUUUACAGUAGGUUUUUUAAUUUGAUUUUGUGUGUGUAUUUUUGGCGGUACUUAAUUCUAUUGUUAAGAUUAAAAUUGUAAAUAAAAUAUACUUAUGUAUAAAAUUAAUAAAUAAAAUACCGCAUGAAAAGUUGCAUGCGUUUAGAGAUUCAAGGAUCAAGAUUGCUUGAAGUAUAAUGUUUGAUGGAUGAUCCUUGUGGCAUUACUAAAUUAGAAUAUAACAUUAGUAUAUAAAAUUGUAUUUAUAUAUACUACGACGCACAUAACGUGCCAAUUAUGAAAGCACAAGUAUUUAGGUGUCAAUGGCUUCACAAAUUCUCGCUAAAUUGUCAAAGAAAUGUAUAAAAUAUGUCGGUACUGCUUGUUGGCACAUUAAAAAUGUAAUUACAUAUGUUAAAACAGUGAUUUUAAGUCAUUGUUAUUAAGCUGUAUUGAACCACCGGCGAAAUUAAUAACAUUAUUUUUUAUUUUUUAACACGAACCUGUAGUAAUUUUGAAAAUAAUUCCGUAAAGUUUUACGUACAGAAUUUUAUGAGAAAAAUGAGUAUUGGUAAAGUAUUAUUUAAGUACACACACGAACUAAAUAUUCCGAAAAAAAAAACAAGAUGUAUUAAUUAUGACACAUUAUUUUAUCAUCCUAAGUAUUAUUAUUAACAUUCCACCAUAAAUCACUUAACAAUAUUAAAAAAAAAAAAACCACAUAGAUCUGAAUUUAUUUAUUGCUUAAAGGAAUUGAUGUCGACACAAUGCCACCAUGGAAGGAAUUUGUAAUAUUCUUCUACACAUUAAGUUACUUUAAAAGGCUAAAAGUGCUUGUAAAAUGUAGCCAAUAUUGGUGCUCGGUAAACCGCGGGUGUUUUGAACAACGCUUGAAACUCGGUCGGGAGCAGCGAACACACUUUCCUAUUAAUAAAAACUUAGCUCACUCUAAACCCCCACCUCGAGGGGCAUACGCUUCUGUACAUAAAUUAAAUAAACAAAAAUUCAUCUAUGUAUAAUAACUAUACGAGGAAAUAUAAUAAGACUUAAUAUUUUUGAAAUUAUUGUAGUAGUCUAUCUAAUUACCUUUCUGAGAGGAAGAUGACGGUUCUACGACUCUGUCGUACACCGUCACGGUUUCUAUCAAAUCAUUGUUUUUUGAGCAAUAAAAUAUAUAGUAGUAUUAUUGUAUUGUAUUGUAAUUAUGCGAGACAGGUGAACUGCUCAAUCAAAGCACGUAAGGAAUUAAAAGUAGUUGAAAAAUUUUGAUGGCCGACCGGUCUCACCGAUACUUAUAGCCCUUAUCAAACAUUAGUGUAUACCCUAGUUAUCUAGGCAUAAGCUAGAUUCGUAGCUAUGAUAUGCGAGGAAUGGCGCGUGACAUGAAAAAAUACAUAAGCUAUCAAGCUUUUGGAACUUAAUUUUGAACCCUCAAUUGUACAGCUGUCGUAUGUUGUUGGUGUUAAAAAAUGUUGAUUUAAAAAGUCAGUCUUUUUGUUGAAUUUAUAAAAACUUGUAAAUAAAACAGAACAUGCUGCGCGCCAUUGUACCGCUAUUAUAAUACAAUUAAUGGCACAGAAAGUGACCCAUCUCUCGACGUAUUAUUUAACCAGAAUUCUUCAAUUGUUCCUUAAGCUGGUAGCUUUCCGUGCCACUAAGUGUAUGAUAUAUUCCAUUCCCUAUUGUAGAUUCUGUUGUCCUUCAUAGCUAAUCACCACUCGUUUAGGUAGCCAACGAAUUUUAUAAUAAAAAAAAACAUAUAAUAUUGAGCACUGAGACAAAUUUAAAAUUGUGUACAUUAUAAACAAAUUAAUAUGAAAAAAAAACUCGUAAAAUACAUCGGUUAUUAUAUAAUAUAACAAAUUAUUGUUAAUGUAGAAGAAAAGACUUAUUAUAUAAAGAUUAUCGAUCGUAAUGUGUGGUUCGCGUGGCAGAGAGCUCAAGUCCACAAACUAUUCUAAAUAGUGCGUAGUAAGUACCUAUCUAUUAGACAUUUUGCACCGAUAUUAUAUUAUACAUAGUUGUGACGCGGUGUCGCGCUACAUGUGUUGUCGCCCAUAUUCCUGUACUACGUGUGCGUUGCAAGUCAGAUGAUGUCCGUGCUGUUGCGUUGUUGUCGCGGCGCCUCGCCGGCUGCCUGCAUAGGUUUCUUUGUAUAAUUUAUAUCGUUAAGUAUUUAAUUAUUGGUAAGCGACAGUAUUGUGGUACUAUUAACGCUUUAGGUGUAAUUAGUUAACAUUCCAUGUAUCUGGGGCUACCCUGGCAUCACAGCGAAUACGUUUGCAUUGUUACAAUAUGUUCUCAUGUUUUGUCAUUUUAAAUAAUAUUAUCGAUUAUAACGACACGUUGUAUUGUCAAACGUUAAGUUUGAAUUCUAUUAUGAUAAAUGUUUUAUUACCAAAAAUUUUGUAAUGUGUAUAAAAUCUUACUAACUGCAUGACAAGUGACAUUUUAACAAUUAUAAUUAGUUAUAAGAGGAAUUGUUAAACAGUUACAUUUCGCAACUUAGAACAAAACUAUGUAUCUUAGUUUUAAUUAUUUUUAGUUGAUCGCAUGUAAUAUUCCCCGUUUGCGGUAAGGAAUCAUAAAACAUAGGUUUUUACAUAAAGUAUGUUGAUUUAUUGUAUUUAAUUUCGGCCGUAUUUACUUGUAUUGUGAAACACCAAUAAAUGUAUGUUACUUAAAGAUUUCAUUGUGAAGUACUUGGUGCGUGAUUGAGACAUACUGUCAAAUUAGACUGGAGAAAUUGGGAUACUGUAACUAUUCUAUGCUUAACUGAAAAUAAAGAAGAUUAAUCAGAA
rnacentral:misc_RNA from 1 species